rnacentral:tRNA from 1 species
CGCCUCAUCGUCUAGGAGUUCAGGAUCCCCGGCUUUCACCUGGGGGACACGGGGGCAAAUCCCGUUGGGGCGACCA